UAUAAUUAUAAUGAAGAGUUUGAUCCUGGCUCAGAACGAACGCUGGCGGCGCGUUUUAAGCAUGCAAGUCGGGGGGGUCUAUUGUAGCAAUACAGUAGAUCACCGGCGUACGGGUGAGUAACACGUGAGAACUUACCUUGAGAUGGGGGAUAGCCGAUAGAAAUAUCGGGUAAUACCGCGUAUGCCGAGAGGUGAAAGAUACUUUAGUAUCGUCUUGAGAGAGUCUUGCGUCCAAUUAGCUAGUUGGUGGGGUAAAAGCCUACCAAGGCGACGAUUGGUAGCCGGCCUGAGAGGGUGUACGGCCACAUUGGGACUGAGACACGGCCCAGACUCCUACGGGAGGCAGCAGCUAAGAAUAUUCCGCAAUGGGAGAUAUCCUGACGGAGCGACGCCGCGUGAAUGAAGAAGGCAGAAAUGUUGUAAAGUUCUUUUAUAUGGGACGAAUAAAUAUAGUGAGAGAAACGCUAUAUGAUGACUGUACCAUAUGAAUAAGCCACGGCUAACUACGUGCCAGCAGCCGCGGUAAUACGUAGGUGGCAAGCGUUGUUCGGAAUUAUUGGGCGUAAAGGGCAUGUAGGCGGUUAGAUAAGUGUGAAUUGAAAUACCGAAGCUUAACUUCGAGUUUGGUUUGCAAACUAUCAUACUAGAGUGCAGGAUGGGAGACUGGAAUUCCGCGUGUAGGGGUGAAAUCUGUAGAUAUGCGGAAGAAUACCGGUGGCGAAGGCGAGUCUCUGGUCUGUAACUGACGCUAAAAUGCGAAAGUGUGGGGAGCAAACAGGAUUAGAUACCCUGGUAGUCCACACUGUAAACUUUGUACACUAGGUGUCAGAGGUAUCGACCCCUCUGGUGCCGAAGCUAACGCGUUAAGUGUACCGCCUGGGGAGUAUGCUCGCAAGGGUGAAACUCAAAGGAAUUGACGGGGGCCCGCACAAGCGGUGGAGCAUGUGGUU
rnacentral:rRNA from 1 species